rnacentral:tRNA from 1 species
GGCCCUGUAGCUCAGUUGGUUAGAGCGCUGCACCGGAAUCGCAGGGCCGUAGGUUCAAUUCCUACCAGAGGACC